CAGUCCAGAUUUCAAGACUCCUAAGGAGCUAGGAUUACAGAGGUCCGAAGCUGCUCCAUGAAGCCAGAAUUUGGACAGAUGGAAGGCCUUGCAUUUUUCACCAAAGAAAAUGCACCAGGAAAGGAGAUUUCUUCAGAAUGCAUCAGAAAGCCUAUUACAAUUGUGGCAGCCCUGGAAACUCCUGCAUUACAAUGAACAAGAACCACACCAUCCUGAAAUAAAAGCAAAGUUAUGAAAUAUUAA